CUCUUAGUCUCUCUCUUGGCCGAAUUCUCUGCAGCAAAAACACAACACAAAGUUGCCAUUUUCAUCUUCAAUUCUUGCACAAAACCUUCAUAGAUUCACACCAAAUUUGAACUACACUUAGUUUGUUGCUUGGAGAGUUCAUCUAGCUAGCAAAAGGAGGAGUUUUUCACGGUUUCUUGGAGCACUAGAGGACCGAAAAUUUCUGGUUUAAGACACCAAGGAGGACUGGAAAUGGAGUUAACGCGGAGAAAUCUCCUUUUAGAUAUAUUGUGUUUUAGGGUUUCAAGUGUAUUUUGGCUCGACCCCUUUAUGAUUGUACUUUUGGAAGUUUAAUGUAUCAUUCGGAUAUAUGGGGUGUAUAUUUUGGAAUUUAAGUUGUAUUAUGAACGCACGACGUGCGGGUGGCAAGCUGAUAGGUACCUUGUGAUGUGACCCUGAGAACUGUAUGGAUAUUGUUAAGCAUGAACGUUUCCGCACUAUAUGUAUUUGCACUAAUUUGAUUGUGGUAUCUAGUAUCGCUUUAAGCUUGAACGUUUA